UAUAUAAAGCACUGACCAACAGACAAACCGAUACAAACGCACACCACCACCACACACGACACACCCAUCCAAGGCAAGAUACAUAGGUGCCGGACGCCGCCACACUACCCCAACGCCUCCAAGCAAAACUACAGAUUAGUGGACAGGCACUACUAGUAUUUUUUCCCCUUGCUGAAGUCGUGUUUGCACUUGAAGCCAUGUGCUGCUCCAAGUUUACUACUUGUUCUAUACUGAAUUAGUACAGCCUGUGCUGCACGUAUUGUCUCCUCAUCAACGGAAUAUUGGUGUCUCGCUCUGCAUUGUGAACCUGCCUCACUCUCCGAGACUCGGCAUUUUUUACCUACGCAUAAGCUCGCAACCUCAACUUGCUGUGUGGCUACAACGAUCCGGUUCCCAUUAUUGUUGAGGGGAAAGUAAGUUUUGAUCCAGUCCCAAUCUUCUAUGGUACACAGGUCAUUAAGAACAAUCAGCUUUGACCCCGAGCUGCCAGUUGUGGAAAAGAAGAUCCAUAGAACUGCCUCAUAAUGUUCCGCAUGAACAUGAUGGGAUCAAAAGGGUGUG